rnacentral:pre_miRNA from 1 species
GAUUUCAACUGAAAAAGUCAUCAACAACAAAAUUGUAUAACUCAUCAAGACCUGUAACUUCUAUUUUGGUCAUUUGUUCAUCCGACAAAGUGAUUUGUAACAUUGUUCACAAAAUGUACAUACCUCUCUUAUAGUUUUAUAAACUAUAAAAAUUUUAAGAAUAUGUUACGAUCACUUUGUCGGAUGAAGAAAUAAACAAAAUAGAAGUUAUAUAUCUUGAUGAGUUAUACAACUUUAUUGUUGAUGACUUUUUCAGCUGAAAUC